rnacentral:rRNA from 1 species
UACGGGGGGAGCAAGCGUUGUUCGGAUUUACUGGGCGUAAAGGGCGCGUAGGCGGCCAUCGCAAGUCGGUUGUGAAAUCUCCGGGCUUAACCCGGAAAGGUCAAUCGAUACUGCGGGGCUAGAGUGCAGAAGGGGCAACUGGAAUUCUCGGUGUAGCGGUGAAAUGCGUAGAUAUCGAGAGGAACACCUGCGGCGAAGGCGGGUUGCUGGGCUGACACUGACGCUGAAGCGCGAAAGCUAGGGGAGCGAACGGG